rnacentral:rRNA from 1 species
CUACGGGUUGCUGCAGUGGGGAAUCUUAGACAAUGGGCGCAAGCCUGAUCUAGCCAUGCCGCGUGAGUGAUGAAGGCCUUAGGGUCGUAAAGCUCUUUCGCUGGGGAAGAUAAUGACGGUACCCAGUAAAGAAACCCCGGCUAACUCCGUGCCAGCAGCCGCGGUAAUACGGAGGGGGUUAGCGUUGUUCGGAAUUACUGAGCGUAAAGCGCGCGUAGGCGGACUGUUAAGUCGGGGGUGAAAUCCCGGGGCUCAACCCCGGAACGGCCUUCGAUACUGGCAGUCUGGAGUUCGAGAGAGGUGAGUGGAAUUCCGAGUGUAGAAGUGAAAUUCGUAGAUAUUCGGAGGAACACCAGUGGCGAAGGCGGCUCACUGGCUCGAUACUGACGCUGAGGUGCGAAAGUGUGGGGAGCAAACAGGAUUAGAUACCCCCGUAGUC